UGGGCUGCAGGGUUCCGAAGCGGAAUAUGAGUUGCUGUUCCUGCAACCUUCGGGUGGCAUCAUUGUGGCACUGCAGGAGGCCCAUGAUGGACAUGUCAUCUAAAGAAUGGGUGGGGGAGUGGAAAUGGUUUGCGACUGGGAGGUGCAGUUGUUUAUUGUGAACCGAGCGGAGGUGUUCUGCAAAGCGGUCCCCAAGCCUCCGCUUGGUUUCCCCAAUGUAGAGGAAGCCACACCGGGUACAAUGGAUACAGUAUACCACAUUGGCAGAUGUGCAGCUCUGGACCCUCACACCACAGUCUGCUCCAGGAGUACUAAUUUGGGCCUAUCACAUUGCCACAACUGAAGGCCAACAUCUCCGUAGCCGACUGCAGAUGCCACCUUCUCCACCAACAUCACCACAGUGCCCAUUCCAUUACUGCUUCGCCGCCACAAACACUGAACUUAACCAGCAUCGAAGUCACCGAUCCUCAGGAGCCAUUCUUUGCCACUGGGCCUAGCUCACCAACAUCACCUCUGCUGAUGUAGCAGCAGCCGAAGCUGAAACCAGGUCCCUUGGUCACCCCUCUGCCAACUCGCCUGCUGCCAUCUUACUGGAAACUACUGCCAUGAGACCGCACUGGGCCCAAUAAGUAAGUUUUCCAGAGGGCUUUGGAAUGGUGGAUGAGGGGAGCAGCCAAAAAGACAAGGAUACUGAGGAUAACUCCCUAGCUGCUCUUUGAAAUAAUUCUAUGGGAUCUUUUACGUCCAACCAAGAAGGGUCCAGGCCUGAAACGUCAGUUUUUGAGCUCCUAAGAUGCUGCUUGGCCUGCUGUGUUCAUCCAGCUCCACUCUACACUUUGUUAUCUUUGCUUUGUUGUCUUAUCCAAAAGAUGGCACUUCCAACAAUGCAGUAUACUCUCAGAACCAAACUGAAAUGGUUGUCUGACAUGUGAUGAAGUUCUUUUUAUUUAUUUAUGGGAAAAAGCAUUAUUGGCUAGCAUUUAUUGCCCAACUCAGAGGACACUUAGGAGUCAACCACAUUUCUGUGGAUCUGGAGUCACGUGUAGUCCAGACCAGGUAAGGAUGGCAGCUUUCUUCCCUAAAGGACAUUAGUGAACCAGAUGUGUUUUUUUCCUGACAAUUGAUGGAUUCUUGGUCACUGUUAGACUUUAAUUCCAGUCUUUUUAAAAUUCUAAUUCAAAUUUCACCAUCUUCCAUGGUGAGAUUUAAACCCAGGUCCCCAGAACAUUCCAUGAGUCUCAGUGCAGGGAUAAUACCACUGGUUCCUCACCUCCCCUAAUCCUGGAGUGGGAUUUGAACCAGAACUUUAUGACUUAAAAGGUAAGAGUGCUACGAAUUGAACCAUGGCUGACACUAUAAAGCAAUUAUUAUUAUUAACUAUUCCAACUUCAACUGUUACGUAAAGUAAUGGGAGGCAUAAAUAAUAAAGUGUGAAGCU